UUAGAACAGGUGAAGAGUCAAAUUAUGAUCUUAAGGAUUUAAUCUUUUGGCUAAAUUUUUAUUCCCAAAUGCCGCUUUCUAAAAUUCGCCUCCAUUUUUAAAUCUUUUUAAAGCUGCAGUAUGUAACUUUUUCAAAACCAUGGAUUUAAUCUGAAAAGUUGAACAAGCUCCUAAAAGCCCCGCUCCCAUGCUCUCUGCUGUGUCACACAGCCCUCUCUCCACAGCUCCUCCCGCACAGAGGAGGCUAGUGUCAGGACGCGCGGCCUAGUAAACACGGCUCCACUGUGGCGGAUAAACAGCUGUAACAUCGUUAGGUGUCAAUAAUAUGCUGUACAUUUAAAAAAUAGUUCAUAUUUUAACGUUGCACUCAUUUUAUAAGUUAUAAAUAGCUAGUAAGCUAACAUAAAAACAGCCAUGGUGCGUAAUUACUCAAUGUUAGAUGAGGUUUGCUAACUAUCUAGGCAACAUGUCAAGCCAGUGAAUUAGCAAAUUACAUUUUUCGCUUUGCACGGGGUGACAUUUCAUCUGUAUGUUAUGAGACAUGGAGUCUAUGGGCUCCGAUAAGGAAUUUACACAAACAGUGAUGGGCGGAUAGAAGAGGACGUGUCCAUGGAGAAUCAGGCAGGGCAGGUGUAAGAUGGGUCAGAGGUUGCGGAGUUGAUUCAGCUCCUGACCAUCUCAGCUGAGGACUUGGGAUGUGGAGAAUUUAAGAUCAGAGGUUGCUGCUUUUGAACGUGCAAGUUUGCUCCGUUUCACUUUUUUCUCUUUGCACAUUACAAAUUACAGUGAGCAAAAUAUUUUAACACCCUACGACAGGGGUACUCAAUACGUAGAUCGCAAUUAACUGGUCGAUCGCGGAAGGUUUUCAGACGAACUCGGCAGUAGGUGACAAACUGAACGCCUCCAAGAGGCUGAAAUCAGCGCGUCCUUCUCUGACGUGCUGGUUUCGCCACGGCAACGGGUGUGCUAAAACGACAAAGAGAGACGAAGAGUAAAAAGGUACGACUGGUUUUGAGUUGAUCACCUGUUCGGGUUGUUUUACCUUUGCUGUGGUGCAUUACAGCCGCUGUAGUUUCUGAAUGUUCAAUAAACGACAAACAUUUGGACUAAUUGCCUUGUUUGUUUGUGAGUAUACGUCACAACAAACAUCAAAUGGGACAAAUAUAUUUCAUUAAGUAACAAACAAAUGGCUUCUACCACGAUAAUUAUAUGAAAUUAAAUUAAUUGUCUAUUGCAUAAAAAUUUGUUUAGUGUUCUCUGGCAUCUUGCUUUGAGCUCAGAGUCUGAGUGUUGGGAACCGGCGUUUUUGGUCCCAGUUUGUGGUUUUUCUUCUGUUCUCCCUGUUUAUCGGCAGUUCCUCAUUUCAUCCACCUGAGGGCGCCAGAGGCAGCACUAAGGAUGGGUGUGCCCAUGAUUCAACACACCUGUUGUUCAUCUUCUAAUCAUCCUGAAGCUUAAGAGGAGUGGACUGCCUGCACUUCAGCGCCUGAGUGUUUGCCAGUGAUGGUACCUCGAGCCUCUCUGAGUUGACUCUGUGAUUUGGUUCUCUGAGAAAUACCUAGAGUAAAUUCUCCUUGUCCUUUUCCUCUCUCAGGUGUUUUCCUUGAGACACUGAGUACUCUCGUUGUGAAGACCCAGCUCUGGCCUUCUGGAUUUCCACUCCUCGUGACGCCGUGGAAAUUACCCACUGGUUGCCCGAGCCCAACAGUGAUCUCCUCAACCAGAUCACCAACAGUUAUCGGAGGUUUCCCCAGCUGGCAGUCCGACCACUCCUUUUUCCUUCCUCCACGCUCAGAACUUACCUGUCCGCCCUCCACCACAACCAAGUGGACCAAGACCCAAACCGGCAGUUACUCUCUCCCAGGCUGAACCUACCAUCUCACAAAUGAGUCGACGACUCCGUGAGCCUGAUCCCGGAUUUAUUCUCUCUCAACAAUCUUAUCAUUUUGUGCAAAUAAAAUCAUUUAACUGAU